rnacentral:lncRNA from 1 species
CAGGGAUGUGCCUUCUUCUACGCGAACCAGCAUCUGGAUGCCUGAGAAGGAGACCCUGUUGACGGUGCUCAGGGGGACCUGCUCCAGGAACACUGAACUCCACUGUGUGGGAGCUUGAGGGGCCUGUGCUGCCCAUGCCGAGUGUCCACCAUCUCACACUGCUUCUAACACCUUCAAGCCAUCUCCUGAAUCUGGAAUAGUCAUCAUGAGCUGGAGGCUUCCUCAGAAGAACCCUAAAAUCAAGGGGGAUUCUGGUGCCAAGAAAAAUAGCCCAACCCAGCUUCACAGCUGUGAGCCUCCAAUGCGCCCCAGGAAGCUGCCAUCACCAUGGGUAGCGCGACCUGGCUUGAUUUUGCCAAAACAAAGGAAAAUUCCUCCAGCA